rnacentral:rRNA from 1 species
AGCGAACGCUGGCGGCAGGCUUAACACAUGCAAGUCGAACGGGCACUUUCGGGUGUCAGCGGCGGACGGGUGAGUAACGCGUGGGAACGUGCCCUCUGGUUCGGAAUAACUCAGGGAAACUUGAGCUAAUACCGGAUACGCCCUUUUGGGGAAAGGCUUGCUGCCGGAGGAUCGGCCCGCGUCUGAUUAGCUAGUUGGUGGGGUGACGGCUCACCAAGGCGACGAUCAGUGGCUGGUCUGGGAGGAGGCUCGGCCACACUGGGACUGAGACGCGGCCCAGACUCCUACGGGAGGCAGCAGUGGGGAAUAUUGGACAGUGGGCGCGAGCCUGAUCCAGCCAUGCCGCGUGAGUGAUCAAGGCCUUAGGGUUGUAAAGCUCUUUUAUCCGGGACGAUAAUGACGGUACCGGAGGAAUAAGCCCCGGCUAACUUCGUG